rnacentral:rRNA from 1 species
UACAGAGGUGGCAAGCGUUAAUCGGAAUUACUGGGCGUAAAGCGCGCGUAGGUGGUUCGUUAAGUUGGAUGUGAAAUCCCCGGGCUCAACCUGGGAACUGCAUUCAAAACUGUCGAGCUAGAGUAUGGUAGAGGGUGGUGGAAUUUCCUGUGUAGCGGUGAAAUGCGUAGAUAUAGGAAGGAACACCAGUGGCGAAGGCGACCACCUGGACUGAUACUGACACUGAGGUGCGAAAGCGUGGGGAGCAAACAGG